rnacentral:rRNA from 1 species
GAUGAACGCUGGCGGCGUGCUUAACACAUGCAAGUCGAGCGAACGGACGAGAAGCUUCCUGCGCAGAUGUUAGCGGCGCACGGGUGAGUAACGCGGGGAUAAUCUACCUAUCAGACGGGGAUACCUUCGGGACACCGGCGCUAAUACCGGAUGAUAUUUUGAACCGCACGGUUCAAGAGUGAAAGACGGUCUUGCUGUCACCUAUAGAUGGAUCCGCGCUGCAUUAGCUAGUUGGUAAGGUAACGGCUUACCAAGGCAACGAUGCAUAGCCGGCCUGAGAGGGUGAGCGGCCACGCUAGAGCGGAGGCACGGUCCGGACUCCUACGGCAGGCCGCAGUAGGGCGUCUUGCGCCAUUGGCGAAUGCCUGACGGUGCGCCGCCGCGUGAGUCAGGAAGGUCGUCGGAUCGUAGACCGCUGUUAUUAUGGAAGAACAUAUGUGUAGGUAACUGGGCACAUCGUGACGGUACCUAGUCAGGAAGCCCCGGCUAACUACGUG